rnacentral:rRNA from 1 species
UAAUACGGGGGGAGCUAGCGUUGUCCGGAAUUAUUGGGCGUAAAGAGCGUGUAGGCGUCCCAAUAAGUUUCUGGUGAAAUACUUCUGCUUAACGGAAGAACUGCCAGAAAAACUGUUGGGAUUGAGUUCAGAAGAGGAAAGCGGAAUUCCUGGUGUAGCGGUGAAAUGCGUAGAUAUCAGGAAGAACACCAGUGGCGAAGGCGGCUUUCUAGUCUGAAACUGACGUUGAGACGCGAAAGCGUGGGGAGCGAACAGGAUUAGAUACCCUGGUAGUCCACGCCGUAAACGAUGGAUACUUGGUGUUGGGAGGUCGACCCUUCCAGUGCCGGAGUUAACGCGUUAAGUAUCCCGCCUGGGGACUACGGCCGCAAGGCUG